rnacentral:rRNA from 1 species
GAUGAACGCUGGCGGCGUGCCUAAUACAUGCAAGUCGAGCGAACAGACGAGGAGCUUGCUCCUUUGACGUUAGCGGCAGACGGGUGAGUAACACGUAUGUAACCUACCUAUAAGACUGGUAUAACUUCGGGAAACCGGAGCUAAUACCGUAUAAUAUUUCGAACCGCAUGGUUCGAUAGUGAAAGAUGGCUUUGCUAUCACUUAUAGAUGGACCUGCGCCGUAUUAGCUAGUUGUUAAGGUAACGGCUUACCAAGGCAACGAUACGUAGCCGACCUCAGGGAGUGAUCGGCCACAUUGGAACUGAGACACGGUCCAGAGUCCUAAGGGAGGCAGCAGUAGGGAAUCUUCCGCAAUGGGCGAAAGCAUGACGGAGCAACGCCGCGUGAGUGAUGACGGUCUUCGGAUCGUAAAACUCUGUUAUUAGGGAAGAACAAACGUGUAAGUAACUGUGCACGUAUUGACGGUACCUAAUAAGAAAGCCACGGCUAACUACGUG